CUGCUGAGGGUGCAGCUGGGAGCAAUGUACAAGUAGCUGGGAGCGACUUGGAGAAAAGACGUUGCACAGGCGACACAUAAACACAGAUCCAGCUGGGGACACACAGAGAAAAGGAAAGGUAAAAGCUUGACUUUAUCUACAGUUACCGCUGCCUGGGUAACGUGAUCUCACAGACUGGCUCCACGGUCAACUCUGUCGUCACAGCGCAUUAGUGGAAAAGGUUAACUAUAGACUCCAUCACUGUGUGUCCCGGCAGCAGCAUGGCCAAGGGAACGAAAGCCAAAAGAAAGACUAAAAGUAAGAAGAUCACCUUGAAAAUGGCCCAGAACUGCGUGGAGCUGACAUUGGAUGGUAAACGCCGACUAGAUCUCAGUUUCAAGGGGAUUACAGCUGUUCCAAAGUGUGUCCAGAAGUGGACCUGAGCAGGAACAUGAUCAGAAAAAUUCCAGAUUUUAUUGCUCAGUUCAUCAAAAUGACUGUUUUGGAUUUGCACAGCAAUUAUGCAACCCAGCCUAUGAAAUGGGUUCCAACGCUACACAUGGGGCUCUACAACAUCCCAGCUUCAAACUACAUGCUACAUACCACCAUGCCAAUCAGAUUACUUCUUCCAUGUGUGGGUGAAGAGGUGACCCUUCUGGAUAAGAUGGUGAAGGUUUGCUGCAUUUUGGUGAACAUGUGCCCCAGUGUGGUAGUAAAACCAGGGAAAAAUUGCUCUUGUUAAAUACUCUUAAAAGUCUUGUGCUGUAUAUGUAGUGAUAAGAUUUCAAAAGAGACAGUAAAUUACAGAAUGCUAGUAGUGGGUGAUAUUAUUUAAAAGCUGUCAUGAUUUUAUGUGAACAUUUUGUCAUUUGUAAACUAUACAUGACAUUGAUUCUACAUUGUUACUGGUGUGAUGUUCUACAAAGUGGUUUUAAUUAAAAAAA